GCCAAAGACAAGUCUGACAGAACCAUCUGGACUCCAUGAAAUUUGACAUUAUUCUGGCUUGUCUUAAACCCAUCCUUCUUUUGAAACCUACAGUCUUUUGACAGUUUGUUCCUAAGCAAGAAGGACUAUAUACAGAAAAAGAAUGCUUCCUCUUCAAAAGAUGAAUCCAAUCUGAGAAGACAAUCAAGUUCUUUUGUCUGCACAGAAGGGAAGCUAUAGACCUGAAACCCAGCAGAUUUGGUCAUUGUAAAGAGCUUGGAACCUUUCAGGUUCCUUCGAAGGAGCUUCAGGGUUUACUGUAUUAUGCCUUUGUAAAGUCUGUAUAAAGUACUCAACACAGGCCUUCAAAUGCUUUUUUCUGAGUGUACAAUCCAACAUCAGAUCAAUUCACC